GAGUAGUGUGAUGGUCAGUAUUUGCUUCAUGGUGUGCAUCGCCCUGGAAAGGUAUCUGGUCAUCGCCUGUCCACUGUGGUACCGCUUCAGACACACCAUCAAGUUCUCUGUGGUUCUCUGUGUUAUGGUCUGGGUCCUUUCUCCUGUCCUGUGUGUCCUCACAGUUUGGGUGCUGCCGGAUGGUUCUGUCACAAGAAUCAUCAUGGGGACUUUCUUCCUCUCCCACUGUUCAUCUUCUUCCUGGGUGGGACCAUCAGAGCUCUGUCUGCCAGUCGUGUCCCCUCUGAUGAAAAACGAAGAAUUGUUGGAAUUUUGGUCCUGGUGUUGCUUAUUUACACACUGCUGUUUCUGCCAGCCAUCAUUUGGUUCAUGGCACAUAUCCACAUUCAGAACCUCGGAUUCCUGACACGUGGGUUUCUGAUGUUGAGUCCCCUUGCAGACUCUUUUCUGUAUGUUUUCAUGAGGAAAGGGACCAUAGACAAGCUUCUGGCCUCUGUGUGUUGCUGCAGAAUGGACAGCAAUGACAGCAGCAGAAUGGACAGCAAUGAUAUCACCAGUUCAACAGUGUGAAUGAUGACAACAUUCACUCAGUCAGCUUCAUGUAGGAAGCGAAUGGAGUGAGGUACAUUAUGUUGUCUACUGAUGUGAUUUCCAAUAAAACACCUACGUCUAGAUAAAAGUGUUGCUGUAACUCUGCUGUGGGAGAACUGGCUGCUGGGAAAUGUGUUGGUGAUCUUGUUCUGGUUCACUGUGAUGGCUCCAACAAAUGUAAAUAACUUUUUGAGUUGUAAGUUGAUGUCUAUCAUUACUCUCCUAUAAUCACCAAAGUAAAUCAGAUAUGAUUAUUCUAUUAGCUGAGCUCAUUAAACUCACCACACCGUCUUGUUCCUGAAUCUUUUUAUUCUGACUGUUUGUUAACACAGGGAGAACAUCUGAACAAGUCUUUAGAACCUUUCCUUUAUUGGUCAUUGUGAUAACUAAUGUCUGUUCCUUUUUUAUUAUAUUGUUGUAUAAAUAAGAAACAUGACUACACAAUAUUUGUUUACCUUGAAGUUGUAUUUUUGGUGCUAGUUUUUAGGAUGGAGCAGCUGUUGUGUGUUUUCAAGAAAUAUGACAUCUUGUAUCACUUCCCACAUAAUAUAUGAAACUGUGC
rnacentral:lncRNA from 1 species